GAGGGUAUAGCUCAAGAGGUACAGCAUAUGCUUAGCAUACACAAGGUCCUGGGUUCAAUCCCCAGUACCUCCU
rnacentral:tRNA from 1 species